rnacentral:lncRNA from 1 species
AGAAAAAGUAGAAUAGUCAAAAGGAAGAGUAUUAACUGGCUUAAACCAAAAUACUCUAUAUUGUAUAUAAUUCACCACAAAAUACAACAUAUGACAGCCAAUUAUGUCAUAAAGGCCCAUAAAGUUCACAAACAGACCCUCACAUUCACGGUUCACCCCUUUGCUGCAAUUUCUAAUGCAUAAUCCAAGUCAAAUCCUCCCAAAUGAAAAUUUUCAGAUGGGUUCUUGUAAUUUUUCCCAAAAAGACAUCUUAUCUAAUCACACAUAACAGAUAUACUCACAAAUCUAAACCCAUCGUGGGCUUAAUUCCACUUCCAAAUUCAAAUUUUGUACACACAAAAAUAAACUUUCCGUUUGUAACCAAUUCAUCACCCGCAUCCAAGAAGGUUUCAUUCUACAUAAUUCCAGAAAAUAAAAAAAAAAAUGAAAUAAGAAGCAGUUACCAGUUGUAGCAGGCAAGUCCGGACUCGAAUUUGAACAUGCAAUUCCGAGUGUCGUAGGUUGAUGUUUAAAGGCUCGUUCUCUUUUAGAAUCAAAUUUGGAGGUUAAAUGUGACCACAAAGGAAUGGUCAAUGACAGAGCUCCACAAGCCAUCUUAUCAUGAACUGGGUUUCAAAAGCUAUGUGUUUGUGUUCAUCGUAGUUAAAGAAUAAAGAAGCUUACAGUUAAAUAUUAUUUAGAAGUUGGUGAUUUUUGCAUGCAUAGCAUUUAGAAUUUUAGAGGGAAGAUUCUACAUUCUGGUGUGUGGUUAAUAAUACGUGUCUUAAGACGUGGAGAGGAACUUGUUUGAGCGAUCUGCGACCCUGCUGAUAGUGAGGACCCCUGUAAUCUCAUUGGACGGUAUUUUCAUUUUUAUUUUUAUUUUAUUUUGGGAGGUGAACCUUGUCCUCGUGGAUAUGCCGGUACUGGACCUGGAAUAGUGGAUUCGUUGAUGGGCUUAACGACCCUUUUUUUUUUUUUAUUCGUUAAGGUUGAGAGACAAAAUUGAUAUUUUUAUGUGCUCAAAAGGUUGGGAAAAUUUAUAAUAUAUCGGAGAUACCGCGAUAAUUAUACAAUAAGUAAAUGAUAUUUAUAAUAUAUGUGUAUUUAUUUUGAAAUAUCAUCAUAUAAGUAGUGGUUAUAUUAAAUUCAAUUACAUAUAUCAUACAUACAUCAAUUGAUUGUAAUACAUCAGAAAUAUUUUAAAAUUUCUCCAAAAGAUCAAUCUCUCUCAAUAUACAGCUACUAGUUACUACUUGCAUGAUGUACUAAUAUAAUAACUAUGUAAUUGAUCAUUAGCAGAUGUAUAUACAAUAUAUAAGUACACUGAUUAGCUUAUACAGAGGGAACAAGGGUGGGUAGAAAUAUUAUAGGAGAAAAAUCAAAGCAUUUAAAACAUGAACAAAAUCUGCAUAUGCUAGGGUAGGGAACCGUCUUAAGGUUUUACACCAAAUACAGGACCGAGGGCAGAAUAGAGAGAAAAAACAAGAAGCAAUGCGUAGACAAUUGCGGCGACAAAACCACAAACAAGAGCUCCAGUGACAUGGUCACAAAACUUUGGAACUUGUCCACAGAUAGGUAGCCAACCAGCAUGACUGUUGCCUUUCUUCCCUACACGAGCUAUUGCCAAUGCGGCCGAUAUGCUUGAAGUUAGCACCGCUGUCAUAACCUGAUAAACCAAUACAACAUGACACAAUAAGUAAACCCAGAAAAAUUAAAAUCAAAUUGUUGAAAUUUCUCUAUUACCGCAUCCAGUAUGACUAUUAAUCGCCAAAGCAGGCUUCUGGAAGACAGAAUGAGAACUACGAGGGUGUAGCCACAAGCAAUUGCUUCUGCGACAACAAAGUACCUAUAUAUAUAUAUACACACACACACACCAAACAUUAGUCUAAUAACAAAAAAAAAAUGAAGAUUGUGUAAAUAAGAAUGCCUAGCUAAGAAAUUUGGAUAAGAAGAUGAGGCGAUGGUGAAGACUGAAGGCUUACUUGAAUACGGGUUCAUUGCUGAAUUUAGCUGUGAAUGUUAAGUUAAAAACUUCAUGUAAUUUUUCCCAAAAAGACAUCUUAUCUAAUCACACAUAACAGAUAUACUCACAAAUCUAAACCCAUCGUGGGCUUAAUUCCACUUCCAAAUUCAAAUUUUGUACACACAAAAAUAAACUUUCCGUUUGUAACCAAUUCAUCACCCGCAUCCAAGAAGGUUUCAUUCUACAUAAUUCCAGAAAAUAAAAAAAAAAAUGAAAUAAGAAGCAGUUACCAGUUGUAGCAGGCAAGUCCGGACUCGAAUUUGAACAUGCAAUUCCGAGUGUCGUAGGUUGAUGUUUAAAGGCUCGUUCUCUUUUAGAAUCAAAUUUGGAGGUUAAAUGUGACCACAAAGGAAUGGUCAAUGACAGAGCUCCACAAGCCAUCUUAUCAUGAACUGGGUUUCAAAAGCUAUGUGUUUGUGUUCAUCGUAGUUAAAGAAUAAAGAAGCUUACAG